AAGCUCGAAGUUUGGCGUAUACUUUGGAAGCAAGGCGAAGUUCUCCGCGUCGGCGCAUACUUUGGAAGCAAGGCGAAGCCCUCCCCAUUGGUGUAUACUUUGGAAGCAAGGCGAGGCCCUCCACAUCGACACAUACUUUGGAAGCAAGGCGAAGCCCUCCACAUCGACGCAUACUUUGGAAGCAAGGCGAAGCCCUCCACAUCGACGCAUACUUUGGAAGCAAGGCAGGGCCCUUCACAUCGACGCAUACUUUGGAAGCAAGGAGAAGGUCUGCAUCAACGUUCCCUAUGCAUCAACAUUAUAAAGUCCAAAGAAUUAAGUCAGAUCCAACAUUCGAACAAAGCGAAGACCCUCCACGUCAACGUCAUGAAGCUCAAAGAUCAAGUCCAAGAAGAUCGGAUGCAUAUUUCUUCAACAAAUCUCAAGGACUACUCAAAGAUCGUCCAAGAAUUAACUUGAAUAUUGGAGAGAGCUCUUUCAAAGUGUGUUGAAGCUAGAUGUGGAAACGCGGAGUUUAAAAUUGAUCAAGAACGCUUUCAAGGUUUGGACCCGUUUUA